UAAUACAGAGGGUGCGAACGUUGCUCGGAAUUACUGGGCGUAAAGCGCGUGUAGGCGGGACCGCAAGUCAGAUGUGAAAGCCCCGGGCUCAACUCGGGAACUGCAUCUGAAACUGCGGACCUUGAGUACUGGAGAGGGCGGCGGAAUUCCUGGUGUAGAGGUGAAAUUCGUAGAUAUCAGGAGGAACACCGGUGGCGAAGGCGGCCGCCUGGACAGUCACUGACGCUGAGACGCGAAAGCGUGGGGAGCAAACAGGAUUAGAUACCCUGGUAGUCCACGCCGUAAACGAUGGGUGCUAGGUGUCUCGGGUAUUGACCCCUGAGGUGCCGUAGCUAACGCGUUAAGCACCCCGCCUGGGAAGUACGGUCGCAAGACUA
rnacentral:rRNA from 1 species